rnacentral:pre_miRNA from 1 species
GGCCCAAAUUCAAAGUAGAAUAGAUUAGAAGGAUAAUCAGACCCUGCUAAACUAAUCUACUUCGAGUUUGUGCCU